CCUGCCCCCAGAGGUGUAGUCUACAGAGGCCGGUGGGCCUCACUGAGCUACGGUGGGCUCCACUCAGUUCAAGCUUCCCUGGCGGCUUUGUUUACCUACUCAAGCCUCAGCAAUGGCAGAUGCCCCUCCCCCAGCCAGGCUUGCCACCUUGCAGUUUGAUCUCGGACUAGCAGUGAGCAAGGUUCUGUGGGUGUGGGACCCGCUAAGCCAGGUGCGGGAUAUAAUCUCCUGGUGUUCCAUUUGCUAAGACUGUUGGAAAACAGCAGUGUUUAGGUGGCAGUGUCCCGAUUUUCCCGGUACAGCCUGCCAUGGCUUCCUUUUGCUAGGAAAGGGAAAUCUCCCAACCUCUUGUGCUUCCUCGGUGAGGCGAUGCCGCGCCCUGCUUCAGCUUGCUCUCUGUGGUUUGCAUCCACUGUCUGACCAGUCCCAAUGAGAUGAACCAGGUACCUCAGUUGGAAAUGCAGAAAUCACCCAUCUUCUGCAUCGAUCACACUGGGAGCUGCAGACCGGAGCUGUUCCUAUUCAGCCAUCUUGGAACGGACCCCCAUUACAAAACUUGGCAGCCCUCAACCAGAAGACAGGAAAUCAGUCAUUCAACAGUAAUGACUCCCAGAGCUGAUGUUCCAAACUCCAGAAGGGUCUCAGUAGCGACAAUUCCAAGAAACUAAAGUUCUCAUGCAUUUGAACUUGAAGUGACCCAUAAUACCAGCAUCCCAGGCUCUCCAAUUUGCAGAUGGGCUGUCAUGGAACUUCUCAGCUGUGAUAAUCAUGUUUGAAAUAGUGAUGCACAAUUAUAAUAUUCAAGAAAUGAUAUAAAAUACUGUAUAGUCAAGAAAUCUUCCAUGGCAACACUCAGUUUACAUUUCAUGAAUAAUUUAUGUGAUGGACUGAAGUGCUCCCUUUAAAAAAAUGUUUUAAAGUAAUCUGGGGCAGAUUGAAACCUAGAUUACCAACCAACUAGGAGCCUACGUGGGAAACACUUUGGGGACCCUUUAACUUAGCCUCCCUUAGGAAAACAUGCCACAUUUCAAUCGCUGGAAGGUGGCUUCAGCGCUCUUAUGCAACUGGAACAUAAUGGCCCAUAAGAACUGUUUAUUUUUUCAAAUUUUGUGAGUUGUUUAUUAUUCAGUGACAUUAUUAAUAAUUAAAUUAUAAAAAUGUAUAAUCAAAUAAAUGAUAAUAGAAACAAAAGCAACACACGCUCCACAUAUAACUUCCAUAUUGAUUAUAUUUUACUAUUUUCUAUGCACUUGUGGCAAUUUAAAUCUAUUGUAUCUGUAUGGUGGAGCUAUUAUAUAAUAGUGUACUACUAUGCAUUUAGUACAAUCAAUUUUACCAAUACAAUGAAUAUAUGGCACAAAAUUUACAUGUAAUGAUAAAAUAUAUAGUACACUAUAGCAAAUUUCCUAUAGCCAAAUGAGGAUCACAAAAUGCUUUGUUGAUCUUUUUUGAAUUCUUGCUUCUGUAGUCAAUAUAUUGUUGAAAUUCACAAAUCAGUGCAAAUCCAAUAUUGUUGUUUGUAUGCAUUUUCCUUUACACAUCUAGUGAGUAGAAAGUAGAAAGUGAAACAGUAAAAGCUUAGGUUGUAAAUUUACCCAUUUGAAAAUGACAUCAAACUGGAAUCUUUCCAGCUUCGUAUUUAGUACAAUCAAAUUGGAAGCUCAAAAUUAGCCAAGGUGGUAGCAUUUAUACCAUGAACAUUGGCACAUGCUACAAAUCAGGGUUUCAUUUAUCUUCUUGACUUAAUGAAGUGAUAAAUAAUUUGUUAAUUAUGUUUAUAAAACAUAAAAUUGCAUUAGGUAUAGCCAUUACACUGAACAGCACAAAAAUUUGAAAAAUUGUCUUAGGUAGUUUCUCAAGAAAAAAAUACACACACACACACACACACACACACACACACAGAGUCAUGCAUUGCUUAAUGACAAGGACAUGUCAGAUAUGUUUCAAGAAAUGUGUUGUUAUUUGAUUUCAUUGUGUGGACAUCAUAGAGUGUAUUUCAAUAGGCUACGUGGUGCAACCUAUUGCUAUUAGGCUACAUAAUAGUACAACAUGUUACUCUACUCAAUACUAUAGACAAUACAAUGGUUUUGUGUAUUUUAGACAUACCUAGACAUAGAAAAGUUAUAGUAAAAAUGCAGUACUAUAAUCUGUGGUACCACCAUCACUUAUGAAUAAACCCAUCCUCAAGCAGCUCAUGACUGUGUGUGCAUGUGUGUGUGUGCGUGUGUGUGUGUGUGUAUGCAUAUAGAGGGAGGAGAGAUUUUAAGUAAUUGGCUCAUGAAAUUCUGGAAGUAGAAAAGUCCAGUAUUCAUAGAGCUCACGGACAGGCUAGAAAUUCAGGCCUUCAAUUUAUUGAAUGAGGUCCAUCCACAUUUGGAAGGGUAGUCUGCUUUACUCAAAGUGUACUGAUUUAAAUGUUAAUUGCAUCAAAAAUAUCUUCACAGCAACAUCUAGACUGGUGUUGGCCAAAACAACUGGGUACUGUAGCUUAGCCAAGUUGACACAUAAAAGGAACUAUUGCAAAUAUAUUCAAAUAUGCAAUAACUAUUUUCUGGUUUAAUAAAGAAGUUUCUGACGUCGUUUUUGAAUGGGUAAAUUUACAACCUAAGUUUUUACUGUUUCACUUUCUACUUUCUACUUUCUACUCACUAGAUGUGAAAAGGAAAAUACAUACAAACGUCAAUAUUGGAUUUGCACUGAUUUGUGAAUUUCAACAAUAUAUUGACUACAGAAAAAAGAGUUCAAUAAAGAUCAACAAAGCAUUUUCUGAUCCUCAUUUGGCUAUAGAAAAUUUGCUAUAGUGUACUAUAUAUUUUAUCAUCACAUGUAAAUUUUGCACCAUAUAUUCUUUGUAUUGGUAAAAUUGAUCAUAAAUUUACAUGUGCAUAUACAGACACCUGCAGGGUUUUUUUUUUAAAGCCAGUUGUUAAUGUUUAACAGCAUGUCACUUUUCGGCUCUUUAGAAAUGUGAGUGUGGUGUCUAUUUAUUCACAUUUUAAAUAAAUGAGUAUAUAUACACAGAAAGGGCAACUAAUUAAACCUCUGAAUAUUGAAUAAAUAGGAAUUUCUUCUCUCCUCUCUAUGAUCUCUUAGGGUGAGAAGACUAAUGGAUCUUGUCUAAAGAGUUGGAGGAUCUUAGAACAUUUCCCAGUGGGUCCUGAAACCAGCAAUUGCUCCUUGAAUUCUGGUUGUUUAAGUAGAGCAAAAGUACGGAGAACUAAUAACUAAAAAGAUGAACCCAAGCACAGAGAGACCCACAAUUAGGUAGCUGAGUUACCUUUCUUCAAAGGACUAUAGAUGUCUAUGCAGAAACCUGAAUGAGCAAGUCAACAUCAUAACACAGGUCCAUCUUACUUGUAGAAGGUGGAGGACCAGUCUAUUCAACCAACAUCAUAUGGGGCAUGCAAAUCAAUGCAAUUUGUGGGCCAUGUUUAGAUAUGGGUGCAACAUAAUUUCUGUUUCUUAGUUCAUGAUUUUGGAUUACUCUGAAUAUUCUAAUGUGUAAAGAGAUAAAAAUUCAUAUAUUUUUAGUUUAUAUCCAUCGUCUUAGUGAAUUCAGGAUGCUAUCACAAAGUACCAUAGAUUGGGUGGUUCAAAAACAACAGAAAUUUAUGUCACACUAUUCAUUAGGCUGAAGGUCUGAGAUCAGGAUGUCAACAUGAUCGAAAAUUGGUGAGUGUCCUCUUCCAGGUUGCAGAUGAUUGUUUUCUCAUUGUAUUUUCACACCGGAGAGAGGAGAGACCAGAAGGCUCUUCCAUGACUCUUACAUGGGCACUAAUCCUAUUCAACAGGGCUGGGCCCUCAUGAUCCCAUCUAAUCUUAAUAAUAAUCUCCAAAAGGCCCUACAUCCUGAUGUCAUCACAUUGGAGGAGGUAGGAUUUAGACACAUGAAUUUUGGAGGGUUACAAACAUUCCACCUCUUAUACCUACUGAUGUUAAAUGAAUGCUGGAGAGCAUUUAAAAUAUUCCCCAUUCAGAAGCAAGGUACAGUUGAGAGUGUUUGGCAUCUUACUUGACUCAAUCUCUGUAGGAAGAGAAUAGUUGCAUUACCCAAGUUUCUGUCUAUUUCCUGGGAGCAAUUCUAGUUUAAUCGCUAUUCUUAUGUAUGAGUAUAAAGGCCUGGUUCUGUUGUGUCAAUAUUAGACACAUUUGACAGACCAUUUCAACUCCAGAACAUCUGGUAGGUUCAGCUGAGGUUGAACUGAAUCACAUUUCAACUCCUCCAUUGUUCAAUUCAUCUCAAAACCUUUUCUCUUGUGUCAAUAUUAGACACAUUUGAUAGACCAUUUCAACUCCAGAAUAUCUGGUAGGAUCAGCUAAGGUCUCUGGUAGAAUUGAAUCACAUUUCAACUCCUCCUUGUUCAAUUCAUCUCAAAAACUUUUCAGGAAUUUUUUUUUCUUCAAAAUGUACUACCAGAUAAACUCAUACACCUGAGAGAGUUAAAACAUCUGUAGACUGUAUGGAAGUCUUCCUACAGGUUUCUAGUAUGAACCCUUCCUACAACAUACUGAAAUUUGAUUUUACUCUAUUCAGAUGUUAUCAUACAAUUCAAAAAUAGCUACAGGCCCACAAAAUAUUUAAAAUAAAUAUUAGAUGAUUUUUUUUUCUGUUUUUAAUAGGAUUAACAAUGAUCAUAUUAUGAAAUUAUCUUGUGGUACUUCUCAGCCUUGGAUGUUGCUAAGUAUACUUUCCCUAUUUGUGAAUGGUGUUUCUGUGCUGGAAUUUGCAACUAUGGACAAGAAACCAACCUUUUUAAAAGUGAAAGUUUCAAAAGUGCAAUGCAAAGUACAAUUAUGCUACUGAUAAAAACUACUAAAAUAGCCAAGAAUGCAACAUUUGCCAUUAAAAUUUAUGAUAAUUUUAAAUGAUUUGCUGUGACAUUUAUGUUAAAACUCAACUUUUCUGUGUGGUAAUAUUUGUGCUUAUAUUCGUAUGUACAUGACAUCAAACACUGCAUAAUCCAUAGUUUAGUAAGCCAUUUUACAAAUGAAAUGUAUUUAUCACAACUAUAGUUUUCUAAGUAGGCUUUCAUUUACUAAUGCAAAUAGAUUUCACUAACUAUAUUUAUCUCAAUGAAUGCACAUAUGGAAGGAUUUAGUCUUCAUUUGCUUAUUUUAUUGGCUGGUUUUCUGAGAUAUUAUUACAGAUAAAUGGAUCAGACUUGCAGGAUCAACUAAUGAAAAAUGUGAUAAAAUUGCAUUCAAUGAAUAAAAAUAAAUAUGUCAUUCACAGUGAAAAUAUUUUUAUAUUUCUAUGAAAGAUGUAUCUAUGUCCUUAAUAUGCAAAAUUAUAAACAUGUGUCUUGUCAUAUUUCAAUAUUUCAUUAUAUUCCCUGUAGUACUUAGGUUUUAUUUUUUUCUGUAGAUACUAUGCAACUAUUCAUAUCUUUUCUGAUACAUAUAGAGUAGGUUUUGGUCUUUUAUUAAGAGGGAAAAAUAGAAGGGUACAACUUAUUUCUAAAUGUUAAAGCAGAUGUUUUAUAAUUUCUAAUUUGCAUUUUGGAUAAGUUAUACAUAGUAAAUGUGACAUUUGAAUCUAAGCCAUAGGUUGUCAUACAUUUAUCAGAAGUUGUUUUGUCCUUUUGUAUUGUAUCAAUUAUUCUAGGCUGGAUUAUUUUUCAAGAUUACCUGCACGACUGACUCUAGUUUAGAGUUUGACAUAAAAGACAUCUGCAUGAGUUUUGGAGGCAAGAGUGAGAAACAAAAACCACUAUACCCAGAAGAUUGUGGGUUCCAGUUUCACUUUGCAGAUUCUAGCUUGCCAUAAAUUUCAUUGUUUUCUGACUUCCCUUUUUCUAUUGUGGGUUUCUGCCCAAUUGCGAGAAAUGCUGCCCUAUAGAAAAUUGUUCACUUGCUCUCACAAUUGUGUAGGGUAUGAUCCCUGUAAUAAAUCUUUUAUUUAGUAUCACUCACAAUAAUACUGCUCUCCCGACCAAACCUCAAUUGAGCUAUCUGUCCCAAUGGAAAUAUUUCUAAACACCUGCGUCUAAAAAUAUAUCCCUUUAAUUACACUUAUAACUACUGAUUUUUUGUAAUAUCUUUUCUUAAAAUCAGGGGAAUUCCCAGUGAUCACUUCAGCAAUCUAAAGUUUAAAAAAUGAUUCUCUCAUAUUUGAAAAUGUCUGGUUUUUAAUAUAUUAAUGAUACCUGAAACCUAGACAAAAAAUCAAUACGUAGAUUACUUUAUGAAAGUAUAAUUGUAAAAUCAUUCACUCUUAAACAGGAAAGGAGUUAAAGAAACAUAAAUAAGAGUACAAAUUCUUCAUUUUUCUUAUAAUUUCUUUUAGAAUACUUUUAAAUUAUAGGUAAUUUUGAUUAAUUUUAAAUACACACGCAGACACAGAGACCAAAUGGGUAAACUUUCUGUGUUUUACUAUCUAGGUGUAUCUUAAUAUUUUCAUCCCCUUACUGCUUCUAAAAAUAUAUAUAAACUAUUUUUGGUCUUGAGAAAGAUACAAAUAAGAAAAAAAGAAAUUUUGAUGUAAUGUAGAGUGAAAGCAAAAUGAGUAAUAACCAAGUAUUUUUAGAGAAGAUAUUUUACUAUCACAGAAAAUGGAGUGACACAAGCUCCUAGCAAUGUGAAUACUCCCAGAAACCCCUAUUUCCACAAGAAUGGAAUAACGUACUUUUAUAAUUAUGUAUUUUAGCUAAAAAUAACUGUACUAGCUAAUUCUGAGGAGUGCAUCUAAGUAGCUUGUUCAAAAAUAUUUUAAAAUAUUUUAAUUUAUACAUUUGAAUUUUAUCCUCAAACAAGCAAAAUAAAAUAUUCAUUUUGGGUUUUCUUCGUUUUCUUUAUUCUAGUGAUGAAUCUGAUUAGAAUGUUCCAUGAUCUUUUAUGUUAUUGCAUUUUUACUUAAUGAUAGGUCCCAAUUUUGGGUGAAUUAUUGACAAAAGAUACAAUAAAUUCAAGAUAUAAGAUGAGGCAAGUCCAAAUCAAGUAUAUCAGAUGCAUCCAAUUAAAUUUUUAAAUAGUUAGAUGGCUUCAUUUGUUUCAAGUAAUGUAUUAGUCUGUUUUCAUGCUGCUGAAAAAGACAUACUGAGACUGGGUAUUUUAUAAAGAAAAACAUGUUUAAUGGACUCACAGUUUCACGUGGCUGGGGAGACCUCACAAUUAUAGCAGAAAGCAAAAGGCGCAUCUUACAUGGUGGCAGGCAAGAGAGAAUGAGAACCAAACAAAAGGGGCUUCCCCUUUUAAAACCAUUAGCUCUCAUGAGACUUAUUCACUGCCAUGAGAAGAGUACGGGGGAAACCAUUCCCAUGUUUCAAUUAUCUCCCACUGGGUCCCUCCCACAACAUGUGGGGAUUAUGGGAGCGACAAUUCAAGAUGAGAUUUGGGUGGAGACACAGCCAAACCAUAUCCAGUAACAUCUGUGAUUAGUUUGUAUCAUGUGGUGAAAUACAAUGGGAAAAGAAGUUAUGUUCUCCACAACAUGUCUAUAUGUGGGUGUAUGGGCUCCUUUUUAAUGUAUUUUUUGGAUAUAUAUAACACAUCGAUGCAUG
rnacentral:lncRNA from 1 species